rnacentral:lncRNA from 1 species
CUCGAUUAUAUCAACAAAUAAUCUACAACACAGGAGUAUUAGCAUAGGAAUAAUCUCAUUUAAUAAUAUUUCUUAGAUAUUAGGAUAACUGCAUGGUUGUCUGAUAUGUGAUGUAAGCGACUGUUUCCUAUUUUCUGUAUUGUCACCCAGUCUCCCCAGUUGUUCCCCAGAGGCGGAUUUAGGGAGGGGGGCAGUGGGACCGGGCCCUCCCUUUUGGGGAAACAAAUUGGUUGCUUAUAUAGGGAAUCAUUGAAGCGUGACUGGAGCGGGCCCCCUCUAAGGUCAGUCAGUGGGCCCCCACUUAUGAAAAUUUCUGGAUCCGCCACUGUUCCCUUUAUUUGUUUCAUUCUCAUCCAUCCAAUUUACAAGAACCGCAGUACACAUAAUGUAUUCCUCCAGCCUCACAAAGACGGAAUACAUUAAAAAAAAUAAAUAGAACUGACAAAAAGUUAAACGACUUAUUAUGAUACAAUGAUAACACAUACUUACAAUUUUAUUUGUCAACUCGUAUUUUU